GACGAACGCUGGCGGCGUGCUUAACACAUGCAAGUCGAACGGAAAGGCCCUGCUUUUGUGGGGUGCUCGAGUGGCGAACGGGUGAGUGACACGUGAGUAACCUGCCCUUGACUUUGGGAUAACUUCAGGAAACUGGGGCUAAUACCGGAUAGGAGCUCCUGCUGCAUGGUGGGGGUUGGAAAGUUUCGGCGGUUGGGGAUGGACUCGCGGCUUAUCAGCUUGUUGGUGGGGUAGUGGCUUACCAAGGCUUUGACGGGUAGCCGGCCUGAGAGGGUGACCGGCGACAUUGGGCCUGAGAUACGGCCCAGGCUCCUACGGGAGGCAGCAGUGGGGAAUAUUGCACAAUGGGCGGAAGCCUGAUGCAGCAACGCCGCGUGCGGGAUGACGGCCUUCGGGUUGUAAACCGCUUUCGCCUGUGACGAAGCGUGAGUGACGGUAAUGGGUAAAGAAGCACCGGCUAACUACGUG
rnacentral:rRNA from 1 species